GCGCGCACACACACACACAGCCCCUCCCCUCCGUGCACACCGCGUCUCCAUGAGAACGAGUUGUUCGACUUUGAAAGCAAGUUCGCUAAAGUGCUUCUUUAGGGGGGAAGAGCACUGAUGUUACACCCUGAAGCCAAAUGCUUAACCUCAUUUGCCUCAUUACAUCUCCUGCCAACAGAUAAUAUGGAAAACUCGAAGCAAGGGCCAUCAUGGAAUGCAUCAUCUGACAUCAUGUGCACUGUUCAGAAGCUUAACCUCAUUGAACGGGAGCCAGCAGAGGAGGAGAGGGCUCAGAUCAAACACAAAGCUGUAACCACACAUGAAAUGAGCGGCAAAAAGAGCAGCUACACUUCUAACGAAAGGCGGUGGGAGAAUGACCCAUUUACCCAGCAUGCCCUGGAGGGCUGAAAGGAAAAGACUGUCUUAUGGUGCCAGUAUGCAAAAUAAACGAGUUUAAUCUGUUUGGAUGUGGGCAUAGACGAAUGGCAUUGGGGACCAGACUGACUUCAAGCUAACGGUCAAGAGGGUCAUUUCUCUAUCAAUCUUCAUCUAUGGCUUUUUGUUGUGAAGGGACAAGACAAUGCAAGAAGCUUGGGAUGGGAAGGGUGAAGACAAAUGGCAUAUGAGUUUCCUCAAGAGAGCAAAAAAUGCAAAAUCUGAGCAUAUAAUAGGACUGAGCUGGAGGAAGGGGUCUAGGAGAUAACAAUGGAUGUAACGACAAUAGCAGGGGGGAUGUGCCCUCUCGUUUUAAGCUAUGUUUAGUUGGGGGUGGGCAGGGACACGUGCCACUCUUGGUAGGAGGGGACCGGGUGGAAUUGAGGGAGCACAGCCAGUGGUGCCCGAUCCGGCCCUCUGCUUUGUUCUGCCAGCUGUUGGUGUCACGGUCAACACCCGGGAAUCAAUGGAUCCAAACGGACAGUCACCACCUUAAUACUCAUUAACACACAGUUCUCUGCUAGGAAGGAGUGGAUUGAUGAAAUAGUCAGGUUUCCAAUUGAAAAAAAAAAACAUCAAAUAUAAAUGUUUUAUUAAAAAUGCUCUACAGAAGAUGUUUAUGGCAAAAAUAAGAGAUAAAAUUACAUUACUAAGUGUUCAAUAGUGUUCAAAACUGUCAAUUUUAUGUUUCAUUCACAGAUGGCGAUAGUGAGGCCAAAGAUCUGUAGUGCAGCAUUAUUUAUCUAGCACUAGCAUGAUAAUAAAUUUAUAUUAAACAUAAGAAUCUCAAGAAAAAAUGUACUUUAGCAAAUAGUUGUAAAAAAGAC